rnacentral:rRNA from 1 species
ACCUGCGGAAGGAUCAUUACCGAGUGUAGGGUUCCUAGCGAGCCCAACCUCCCACCCGUGUUUACUGUACCUUAGUUGCUUCGGCGGGCCCGCCAUUCAUGGCCGCCGGGGGCUCUCAGCCCCGGGCCCGCGCCCGCCGGAGACACCACGAACUCUGUCUGAUCUAGUGAAGUCUGAGUUGAUUGUAUCGCAAUCAGUUAAAACUUUCAACAAUGGAUCUCUUGGUUCCGGCAUCGAUGAAGAACGCAGCGAAAUGCGAUAACUAGUGUGAAUUGCAGAAUUCCGUGAAUCAUCGAGUCUUUGAACGCACAUUGCGCCCCCUGGUAUUCCGGGGGGCAUGCCUGUCCGAGCGUCAUUGCUGCCCAUCAAGCACGGCUUGUGUGUUGGGUCGUCGUCCCCUCUCCGGGGGGGACGGGCCCCAAAGGCAGCGGCGGCACCGCGUCCGAUCCUCGAGCGUAUGGGGCUUUGUCACCCGCUCUGUAGGCCCGGCCGGCGCUUGCCGAACGCAAAUCAAUCUUUUUCCAGGUUGACCUCGGAUCAGGUAGGGAUACCCGCUGAACUUAAGCAUAUCAA